rnacentral:rRNA from 1 species
AUUGAACGCUGGCGGCAUGCCUUACACAUGCAAGUCGAACGGUAACAGGUCUUCGGAUGCUGACGAGUGGCGAACGGGUGAGUAAUACAUCGGAACGUGCCUAGUAGUGGGGGAUAACUACUCGAAAGAGUGGCUAAUACCGCAUGAGAUCUACGGAUGAAAGCAGGGGAUCGCAAGACCUUGUGCUACUAGAGCGGCCGAUGGCAGAUUAGGUAGUUGGUGGGAUAAAAGCUUGCCAAGCCGACGGACUGUAGCUGGUCUGAGAGGACGGUCAGCCACAAUGGGACUGAGAAACGGCCCAGACUCCUACGGGAUGCAGCAGUGGGGAAUUUUGGACAAUGGGCGCAAGCCUGAUCCAGCAAUGCCGCGUGCAGGAUGAAGGCCUUCGGGUUGUAAACUGCUUUUGUACGGAACGAAAAGCCCCGGGUUAAUACCCUGGGGUCAUGACGGUACCGUAAGAAUAAGCACCGGCUAACUACGUGCCAGCCGCCGCCGUAA